UGGGGAAUUUUGCACAAUGGGGGAAACCCUGAUGCAGCGACGCCGCGUGAUUUAGAAGGCCUUCGGGUUGUAAAAAUCUUUUUUACGGGAUGAAAAUGACAGUACCGUAAGAAUAAGGUCCGGCUAAAUACGUGCCAGCAGCCGCGGUAAUACGUAUGGACCGAGCGUUGUCCGGAAUCAUUGGGCGUAAAGGGUACGUAGGCGGCCUAGUAAGUUAGAAGUGAAAUAAUAUAGCUCAACUAUAUAAAGCUUUUAAAACUGCUAGGCUUGAGAGAUGGAAGGGGAAGUGGAAUUCCUAGUGUAGCGGUGAAAUGCGCAGAUAUUAGGAAGAAUACCGGUGGCGAAGGCGACUUUCUGGUCAUCAUCUGACGCUGAGGUACGAAAGCGUGGGUAGCAAACAGG
rnacentral:rRNA from 1 species